GACGAACGCUGGCGGCGUGCUUAACACAUGCCAGUCGAACGGUGAAGCGCCUUCCUUUUUGGUGGGUGUGGAUGAGUGGCGAACGGGUGAGUAACACGUGAGUAACCUGCCCCCUUCUUCUGGAUAACCGCAUGAAAGUGUGGCUAAUACGGGAUAUUCUGGGUCUGUCGCAUGAUGGGUCUGGGAAAGAUAUUGUUUCGGUGGGGGAUGGGCUCGCGGCCUAUCAGCUUGUUGGUGGGGUGAUGGCCUACCAAGGCGGUGACGGGUAGCCGGCCUGAGAGGGUGGACGGUCACACUGGGACUGAGACACGGCCCAGACUCCUACGGGAGGCAGCAGUGGGGAAUAUUGCACAAUGGGCGCAAGCCUGAUGCAGCGACGCCGCGUGAGGGAUGGAGGCCUUCGGGUUGUGAACCUCUUUCGCCAGUGAAGCAGGCCUGCCUCGUUUGUGGGUGGGUUGACGGUAGCUGGAUAAGAAGCGCCGGCUAACUACG
rnacentral:rRNA from 1 species